rnacentral:rRNA from 1 species
AGUGAACGCUGGCGGUAGGCCUAACACAUGCAAGUCGAACGGCAGCACAGUAAGAGCUUGCUCUUACGGGUGGCGAGUGGCGGACGGGUGAGGAAUACAUCGGAACCUACUUUUUCGUGGGGGAUAACGUAGGGAAACUUACGCUAAUACCGCAUACGACCUACGGGUGAAAGCAGGGGAUCUUCGGACCUUGCGCGAUUGAAUGAGCCGAUGUCGGAUUAGCUAGUUGGCGGGGUAAAGGCCCACCAAGGCGACGAUCCGUAGCUGGUCUGAGAGGAUGAUCGGCCACACUGGAACUGAGACCCGCUCAAGACUCCAACGGGGGGCAGCAGUGGGGAAUAUUGGACAAUGGGCGAAAGCCUGAUCCAGCAAUACCGCGUGGGUGAAGAAGGCCUUCGGGUUGUAAAGCCCUUUUGUUGGGAAAGAAAAGCAGCAGGUUAAUACCCCGCUGUUCUGACGGUACCCAAAGAAUAAGCACCGGCUAACUUCGUG